rnacentral:RNase_P_RNA from 1 species
AGAGCAGGCGAGGCAGUUGCAGGUUGAGCCUAGUGCUCAGCGUGAGGAAAGUCCGGGCUUCCGAAAGACCAAACUUGCUGGGUAAUGCCCAGUGCGGGCGACCGUGAGGAGAGUGCCACAGAAACAUACCGCCGAUGGGAAGGCAGAAGGCAGAAGGCAGAAGGCAGAAGGUUGAUUCUGCUUCAGCUUUUCUAAUUCAUUCUUUUACAGGUAAGGGUGCAAGGGUGCGGUAAGAGCGCACCAGCAG